rnacentral:rRNA from 1 species
GGAUGAACGCUAGCGGCAGGCUUAAUACAUGCAAGUCGAGGGGCAGCAGGGUGUAGCAAUACAUCGCUGGCGACCGGCAAACGGGUGCGGAACACGUACGCAACCUUCCUUCAAGUGAGGAAUAGCCCAGGGAACUUUGGAUUAAUACCUCGUAACAUUGUGAAAGUGGCAUCACUUUACAAUUAUAGCUCAGGCGCGUUGGAGAUGGGCGUGCGACUGAUUAGGUAGUUGGCGGAGUAACAGCCCACCAAGCCUGCGAUCAGUAACUGGUGUGAGAGCACGACCAGUCAC